UACGGAGGGGGCUAGCGUUGUUCGGAAUUACUGGGCGUAAAGCGCACGUAGGCGGCUUUGUAAGUUAGAGGUGAAAGCCCAGGGCUUAACCCUGGAAUUGCCUUUAAGACUGCAUCGCUAGUAUCGUGGAGAGGUGAGUGGAAUUCCGAGUGUAGAGGUGAAAUUCGUAGAUAUUCGGAAGAACACCAGUGGCGAAGGCGACUCACUGGACACGUAUUGACGCUGAGGUGCGAAAGCCAGGGGAGCAAACAGG
rnacentral:rRNA from 1 species